AACGCACGAGACCUGCGGACCUGCGGAGGGAUCAUUACAGAGUUCGUGCCCUCUGGGUAGAUCUCCCACCCACUGUUUUCCUUACGACCGUUGCUUUGGCGGGCCGCCGGCCCUGCCCGGCCGCCGGCGCCCAGCUGGCGCGCGCCCGCCAGAGGCCCUCCAGACUCUGAAUGUUAGCGUCGUCUGAGUACCACAUAAUAAGUUAAAACUUUUAGCAAUGGAUCUCUAGAUCGGAAGAGC
rnacentral:misc_RNA from 1 species